rnacentral:lncRNA from 1 species
GUGGUGUGCAUCUGUCCUAGUAGGUCAUUCCUAUCAUCGUCUUCAUCAGCAACACGCUUUUUUUUUCUUUCUUUAUACGUGCAAUGUUUUGUUUUACUUUGAGAGCACUGACAGCUUUGGCAAGGACUCAGCUUUAAAAGUUAGCUGUUGUGUGGACCUAACUGGACAAGUGAGCAGAUCAAAACCAGGAGAUAACAGUGUAUAUUUAUAGGGAGAUACGUUUAUGGAAACCUAUGGGAAAGGCCAGCUUCCUUUUCAGAGAAGACAGAGGAGGACAGUGCUGUCAUGUAAACAUCAAGUUUUACAAAAGAAUUCUCAAAAAAAAUCCUGAAAUACAGAGUUAGCAUGAUGAGGCCUCAAGAGAAGAUGUGAAGGUGAUCGACUGCAGAGAUCAUGUAUAUGUCAAGAGAUAGCAAAAAUCACCAGAAAAGUACAAGAUCACUGGCUCUGUGCAGAAUAUAAC